rnacentral:rRNA from 1 species
AGAAUCAACGCUGGCGGCGUGCCUAACACAUGCAAGUCGAACGAGAAAGUGGAGCAAUCCAUGAGUAAAGUGGCGACCGGGUGAGUAACACGUGACUAACCUACCUUCGAGUGGGGGAUAACCCCGGGAAACCGGGGCUAAUACCGCAUAACAUCGCAAGAUCAAAGCAGCAAUGCGCUGGAAGAGGGGGUCGCGGCUGAUUAGCUAGUUGGCGGGUAACGCCCACCAAGGCGAAGAUCGGUA